AUUGAACGCUGGCGGCAUGCUUUACACAUGCAAGUCGAACGGCAGCGCGGGCUUCGGCCUGGCGGCGAGUGGCGAACGGGUGAGUAAUACAUCGGAACGUGCCCAGUAGUGGGGGAGAGCUCGGCGAAAGCCGGAUUAAUACCGCAUACGACCUGAGGGUGAAAGCGGGGGAUCUUCGGACCUCGCGCUAUUGGAGCGGCCGAUGGCAGAUUAGCUAGUUGGUGGGGUAAAGGCCUACCAAGGCGACGAUCUGUAGCUGGUCUGAGAGGACGACCAGCCACACUGGGACUGAGACACGGCCCAGACUCCUACGGGAGGCAGCAGUGGGGAAUUUUGGACAAUGGGCGAAAGCCUGAUCCAGCAAUGCCGCGUGUGUGAUGAAGGCCUUCGGGUUGUAAAGCACUUUUGGCGGGAACGAAAAGGACUGUGCCAAUACCACGGUUCGAUGACGGUACCCGCAGAAUAAGCACCGGCUAACUACGUG
rnacentral:rRNA from 1 species